GACCAUAUCAUGUUGAAACACCAGUUCCUAUAUGAUCGCUGAAGUUAAGCAACUGAACCUGGUCAGUACCUGGAUGGGUGACCAUUUGGGAAUACUGGGUACUGCGA